UACAGAGGGUGCAAGCGUUAAUCGGAAUUACUGGGCGUAAAGCGCGCGUAGGUGGUUUGUUAAGUUGAAUGUGAAAUCCCCGGGCUCAACCUGGGAACUGCAUCCAAAACUGGCAAGCUAGAGUAUGGUAGAGGGUGGUGGAAUUUCCUGUGUAGCGGUGAAAUGCGUAGUAUAUAGGAAGGAACACCAGUGGCGAAGGCGACCACCUGGACUGAUACUGACACUGAGGUGCGAAAGCGUGGGGAGCAA
rnacentral:rRNA from 1 species